GAUGAACGCUGGCGGCGUGCCUAAUACAUGCAAGUCGAGCGAACGGACGAGAAGCUUGCUUCUCUGAUGUUAGCGGCGGACGGGUGAGUAACACGUGGAUAACCUACCUAUAAGACUGGGAUAACUUCGGGAAACCGGAGCUAAUACCGGAUAAUAUUUUGAACCGCAUGGUUCAAAAGUGAAAGACGGUCUUGCUGUCACUUAUAGAUGGAUCCGCGCUGCAUUAGCUAGUUGGUAAGGUAACGGCUUACCAAGGCAACGAUGCAUAGCCGACCUGAGAGGGUGAUCGGCCACACUGGAACUGAGGCACGGUCCAGACUCCUAAGGGAGGCAGCAGUAGGGAAUCUUCCGCAAUGGGGGAAAGCCUGACGGAGCAACGCCGCGUGAGUGAUGAAGGUCUUCGGAUCGUAAAACUCUGUUAUUAGGGAAGAACAUAUGUGUAAGUAACUGUGCACAUCUUGACGGUACCUAAUCAGAAAGCCACGGCUAACUACGUG
rnacentral:rRNA from 1 species